GCAAUUCCUAUAUUGUGGGAACCUAUAAUAUUCAACAACAACUCCUGUUAGGAAAAAGACAGAACAGAAAGGAGGCAUUAUAGCCCUGAAUAAAAAUUUAUUAUAUUUAACACGAUACAAAUGACACCAACUUACAAGUCUCUAAAUUUUUAUCAACAUUUGAUACCAAAUUACAAAACUUCCAUUUAUAGGGAACAUACAUAUAAAAACACGUAUGGAAGUAUCCAUCUGCCCAUGCGAUAGCUUGUAGCAAGAUACUCAAAUGGAGAGAUUCCAGAUAUGUCUAUAUAUUCACGGAAAUUUUAUCAUCUCCAGCGGUUUUAUAAGCAAUACAAAUUGGUGCAUUGUUAUUGAUCCAUCUAGCAUGAAAUACUUCUGUCUAGUGACAUUUCAAACACUUUGUUGACUGCAACUCCAAUUUCCAGCUAUAUUAGACCUCCAGAGAUUUUAUGUACAGCUCCACAAUUCUAAGUUUUAGUUACUCAAUGUUAAGUGGUAUUCUAAACCUUCAUGGUUUUUUUUAUCAUUUAUUGAAGACUUCCUCAUCAGAAACACAAAAGCAGCCAAUACACCAUGUACUAGCAACUACUUGGCAGAAUAAAAUCAACAAACCUUUUAGAAUCAUCUCUACUG
rnacentral:misc_RNA from 1 species